GACAAACGCUGGCGGCGUGCCUAACACAUGCAAGUCGAGCGUGAAAGGGGCUUCGGCCCUGAGUAAAGCGGCGAACGGGUGAGUAACACGUGGGCAACCUGCCUCAAGGACUGGGAUAACUCCGGGAAACCGGGGCUAAUACCGGGCGAUGUCGUCUCGCGCAAGCGAGCCGACCAAAUGGUAGCUUCGGCCUCCGCCUUGAGAUGGGCCCGCGUCCUAUCAGCUUGUUGGUGAGGUAACGGCUCACCAAGGCUACGACGGGUAGCUGGUCUGAGAGGAUGAUCAGCCACACUGGGACUGAGAUACGGCCCAGACACCUACGGGUGGCAG
rnacentral:rRNA from 1 species